UGAAACGGCUCGUGGACACACUGAAGCGGGGGGCGAACGCACCCACGCACAUCAGCGACCCGCGCACAUGGACACACACGGCCACGGCCCCAACCUGCCCAGCCCUCCCAAACUCACUUCUAAAGCAAGCCAAAUACCAGCACGCUAAUCCAAAGACGAUACACGCCAUGGCUGACGAAGCACGACGCUUUCCUAACGCGCGAUUCCAGACCCACCAUGCUCUGGCCCACGACGUGAAUGGCAUUGUCUGGACAGACGGUUCGGUAAGCAAAACCAAAACUGACAAUGGCAAAGAAGUCCAGGUUGCCGGCGCCUGCGCCUGGUUUAGCGAUUCUCGCGUUGUCUACGUGAAUCCAAAUGGCGCUGGGUGUACAAACACUAUAACGAGAGCUGAACUGGCAGCAAUUCGUGCUGCCCUCGCAGAAUUUGGUGGCGAAGGUAAAGAAUUUGCAACUAAGAAGCUCACUAUUGCAUCAGAUUCUGUUGCAAGCUUGUACCUAAUCAAACGAGCAAUUAACGAGCCCCGGC
rnacentral:lncRNA from 1 species